GAGUUUGAUCGUGGCUCAGAUUGAACGCUGGCGGCACGCUUAACACAUGCAAGUCGGACGGCAGCACGGGUGCUUGCACCUGGUGGCGAGUGGCGGACGGGUGAGUAAUGCUUAGGGAUCUGGCGCGAAGCGGGGACAACACGGGGAAACUCGUGCUAAUACCGCAUAAGCUCUGAGGAGUAAAGAUGGCCUCUAUUUAUAAGCUAUCGCUUUGCGAUGAACCUAAGUCGGAUUAGCUAGUUGGUGGGGUAAAGGCCUACCAAGGCGACGAUCCGUAGCUGGUCUGAGAGGACGAUCAGCCACACUGGGACUGAGACACGGCCCAGACUCCUACGGGAGGCAGCAGUGGGGAAUAUUGGACAAUGGGGGCAACCCUGAUCCAGCGAUGCCGCGUGUGUGAAGAAGGCCUGCGGGUUGUAAAGCACUUUAGUUGGGUAAGAGAUAAGUUGUGUGAAUAAUGCAAUUUGAGACGUUACCCAAAGAAAUAAGACACCGGCUAAACUCUGUGCCA
rnacentral:rRNA from 1 species